UACGUAGGGUGCGAGCGUUGUCCGGAAUUACUGGGCGUAAAGAGCUCGUAGGCGGUCUGUCGCGUCUGCUGUGAAAACUCAGGGCUUAACCCUGAGCUUGCAGUGGGUACGGGCAGACUAGAGUGCGGUAGGGGAGACUGGAAUUCCUGGUGUAGCGGUGAAAUGCGCAGAUAUCAGGAGGAACACCGGUGGCGAAGGCGGGUCUCUGGGCCGUAACUGACGCUGGAGGAGCGGAAAGCGUGGGGAGCGAACAGG
rnacentral:rRNA from 1 species